UUGUGAGCCGUAACCUUACGGCUGACCGCCAGGCUCCAUCGCUUACGCGAUGUAACUUUUUAUCUACACAAACGUAAACUUUCACCCCUUCUUCACAUCGGCUACAAACCGUUUCCUGGGAUAGCUAGCCCACGCCACGACCCGUCUCCCACGUUCCUAUUCCAAUCGAGAUGAGCGGUAGUUUUGAUGGCGAGUGGCGGCGGCGGCUGGUUUGCUGGUCGACGGCAUGGUGCUCAGCGGGUUAGUUCUGCGGGAAAGUCAAUGACCUCAGCGACGUCAUGAUCAGGCAUGUGGCCACGGAGUCCGGCAGCGCGGCGUCCGGCGGGUGGUUGUCGCGGCAGCUCUGGCUCGAGGCUCGAGCACGGUUGCCAGGACUGUACAAGGACGAGCAUCCAUCACGGCCUCCGGGUGUAAGGCUUGUGUGAACCUCGGUAAUUCAUCUUUGGAUCUCAUUCUGAGUGCCCACGGGGUGUUUAUGUUAAUGCCCAAUUGGGAAUUGAAGCUGUAACAGUUGUAUACUUUUGUGAGGAAUCUUGGAUAAAUGAAGGCGCAGGUUCUAAAUUUCAUUUACUAUUGAUUCUGAAAAGAUUUAUUACAUGAGCCUGAUGGGUAGAAUCCUUAUUUGUGCCUGGCUACUUGGUAUAGUAUAGCAAAUAAAAUCUGCCAAGGGUCAGGGGUAAAUUCAAGUGUCCUGACUCUAUGAAUUCAUUAUGAACAAGUGUGCAGUGGAUGGCCUGGUGUGCUUUGCUUGGACGUCCGGACGCGACCGCGACGGUGCCGACAGCCUGGGCCUCCCGCACCUCGGCGGGGGAGGUGGUUCCCUCCUGCUCGGUAACGGUGCUGCUGCUUCUGUCGUUUGGCAUUUCUCUUCGGAUCUCUUGGCCUCGCGGUGGUGUUCGUAGUGAGACGGCGUGGGUCGUGGCACAACCGAGAUGGCGCAAGGUGGUGGGCGGAGGUUUGGCUGGUCGGCUUUGGUUCGGUCGGGUGGCGGGUUUGGAGUGUGGAAGAAAUCCUUGCCGGUCUUCGGCUCAAAUGCGGUGACACCUGCGAGUGCCACCAUUCCUUCCUGGAGAGUGUCGUUGUUCUCCAUCCCCCAACUCCCUCCGCGUGUCAGGGAAAACCCUAGGACCCGUCCGGGCAGCAGCGUCGUCGGCGUCGCAUUCCUUCUUGGGGGUUCUGCUUGGUACGCGGCGGAUCGGAGCCUCGGGCUAUGGUCGUUUGUUUCGAGUGGGCGCAGCGAUGGCGGGUCAUCCGUGCUUUGUCGAGCUGCCGCUGUAGGUAUUUGUUUCUUCUUCUUUUUCUUUUGGGCUUGUUGUGCUACUCGCCCCAGCGAUUUGUACUUUCGGUGUUGAUUGCUUUGAAAUACAAAGCAGGGAAAACCCUUUUUGGUAAUC